UGGGGAAUAUUGCACAAUGGGCGCAAGCCUGAUGCAGCCAUGCCGCGUGUAUGAAGAAGGCCUUCGGGUUGUAAAGUACUUUCAGCGAGGAGGAAGGCGUUGUGGUUAAUAACCGCAGCGAUUGACGUUACUCGCAGAAGAAGCACCGGCUAACUCCGUGCCAGCAGCCGCGGUAAUACGGAGGGUGCAAGCGUUAAUCGGAAUUACUGGGCAUAAAGCGCACGCAGGCGGUCUGUCAAGUCGGAUGUGAAAUCCCCGGGCUCAACCUGGGAACUGCAUCCGAAACUGGCAGGCUAGAGUCUUGUAGAGGGGGGUAGAAUUCCAGGUGUAGCGGUGAAAUGCGUAGAGAUCUGGAGGAAUACCGGUGGCGAAGGCGGCCCCCUGGACAAAGACUGACGCUCAGGUGCGAAAGCGUGGGGAGCAAACA
rnacentral:rRNA from 1 species